GCCCAGAUUCUACGGAAGCAGCAGUGGGAAUAUGCACAAUGGCGCAAGCCUGAUGCAGCAACGCCGCGUGGGGGAUGACGGCCUUCGGGUUGUAAACCCCUUUUAGUAGGGAAGAAGCCUUCGGGUGACGGUACCUGCAGAAAAAGCGCCGGCUAACUACGUGCCAGCAGCCGCGGUAAUACGUAGGGCGCAAGCGUUAUCCGGAAUUAUUGGGCGUAAAGAGCUCGUAGGCGGCUUGUCGCGUCUGCUGUGAAAACUGGAGGCUCAACUUCCAGCGUGCAGUGGGUACGGGCAGGCUAGAGUGCGGUAGGGGAGAUUGGAAUUCCUGGUGUAGCGGUGGAAUGCGCAGAUAUCAGGAGGAACACCGAUGGCGAAGGCAGAUCUCUGGGCCGUAACUGACGCUGAGGAGCGAAAGAGUGGGGAGCGAACAGGCUUAGAUACCCUGGUAGUCCACUCCGUAAACGUUGGGAACUAGUUGUGGGGGCCUUUCCACGGUCUCCGUGACGCAGCUAACGCAUUAAGUUCCCCGCCUGGGGAGUACGGCCGCAAGGCUAAAACUCAAAGGAAUUGACGGGGACCCGCACAAGCGGCGGAGCAUGCGGAUUAAUUCGAUGCAACGCGAAGAACCUUACCAAGGCUUGACAUACACCGGAAACGGCGAGAGAUCGUCGCCCCCUUGUGGUCGGUGUACAGGUGGUGCAUGGUUGUCGUCAGCUCGUGUCGUGAGAUGUUGGGUUAAGUCCCGCAACGAGCGCAACCCUCGUUCUAUGUUGCCAGCACGUAAUGGUGGGAACUCAUGGGAUACUGCCGGGGUCAACUCGGAGGAAGGUGGGGAUGACGUCAAAUCAUCAUGCCCCUUAUGUCUUGGGCUUCACGCAUGCUACAAUGGCCGGUACAAUGGGCGGCGAUACCGUGAGGUGGAGCGAAUCCCAAAAAGCCGGUCCCAGUUCGGAUUGAGGUCUGCAACUCGACCUCAUGAAGUCGGAGUCGCUAGUAAUCGCAGAUCAGCAACGCUGCGGUGAAUACGUUCCCGGGUCUUGUACACACCGCCCGUCAAGUCAUGAAAGUCGGUAACACCUGAAGCCGGUGGCCUAACCCCU
rnacentral:rRNA from 1 species